CUUCACGGAACCCAGCCACAACGGCCGGUCUUCGUCGCGGUCCUGGCCGUAGGUGGCCAGGAGUGCCUGGGCCUC
rnacentral:antisense_RNA from 4 species